UGCCUAACCGACUGAGCCACCCAGGCGCCCCCAUGUGUGUUUCUUAUAAACAAGUUAGAGUUUCCUUUGUUCCUAACAAAGUCUGAUCAUCACUGCUUUUAGGAGAAUUCAGUUGAUCACAUUUGGAAUAAUGAGAUGCUCACUUCCCAACUACUACUUCCAAACAGCAUUCUCCACACCUUCUCUACCCCAAUAAGGUAUUUGAGUAUUUUUACUCCCUCCACUUUCCUCCCCUCCAUGCAAUUAUUUUUACUGAAUUAAUUUAUCUUUGGUUAUAGCCUGGCAUCAGGAUUUCUCUUUCAGCCUGUCUAUCCUAAUUCAAACAUACUUAUUUAGAACUUAUUACACAUUUGCAGAGAGCCUGUCUUCCUCCAUCUUAGUUCCUCCGUGGGUUCAUUCUUUACAUCAGUCUCCUCUUGAUCUUUCUUCAUCUGGUGUUUGUCUGGGAUCCUUUCCUCAAAUCUGUUGCUUAGAGGGUGCAGGUGAGUGAUGCACUCUCUGAAUUCUUGCACAUACUGUAUCUUUCUUUUGUCCUGCCAGGUAAAGGCUAUCUUAGCUGGGAAUAGGAUUCUUGGAUCUCAGCCAUGUAGAUGCCAUAGUCUGCCAGCUCCUGUUACAGGGUUUAAUUCUGUAAUGCAUCCCUGGAUGAGAAAGGCAGAGCCAGGCACGCUCAACACAGGGGUGAUGUUGACCUUCUCUGACGGGUGGAGAGGGGAGGAUCCCACAAAGCUCCUGUGACCAAACUCUUUCAAAGAGGAAGCACAGUGCAGUGGCUGAGUGUUGGGCUGCAGAGCCACAUUGUCUGGGUUGGGACAUGGGCAAAUUAGUGAACUUUGCUUAGCAUACUGUAAGCACUCAGUAAAUGUGCUUCCACUUAUGGACAUAACUACUGCUCCUACUUUUCCUUCCUUACAGGCUCACAUCUAGCACGUGCUUUGACACUUUUCCAGCCUGCCCAGCCCAAGGUGAAGAAAGUCCUGGAUCAGGAGAGGUGGGGUCUGGAAGCCACAUUCUGGUUGUCCUGACAUCAGAAUCUUAUCCAUCAUCAGUAUUAUCUUUUAAAGUUUCUAAAGAAGAGGUAAGAAAGAAUUCCAAUCUGAUGAAAGGUAUCAAUCCACACAGUCAAGAACCACUAGAACUCCCAAAUCAGAAUAAAUACAAAGAAUACCGUACAUGGGCACAUCACAGUGAAACUGCUGAACACCAAAGAGAAAAUCUGAAAAGCAGUCAAAACAAAUGAUACACGACCUUCAGAAGGGUGACAAUAAGACUGACAGGUGACCUAUUAACAAAAAC